UCUAUGGGCAUACCACCCUGAAUGUGCCCGAUCUCAUCUGAUCUCAGAAGCUAAGCAGGGUCAGGCCUAAUUAGCACUUGGAUGUGAGACAAAUUGCAAAUUUAUUAUAUGGUGGCACAUAUGU
rnacentral:rRNA from 1 species